GUGACAGAAAUAGACGCGGGUUCGGAAAGAUAAAAAUAAUAGAGAAGGAAAGAAAAGAAAAGAAAAGGAAAAAGGUGGUAGGAUGCACAUGCAUUAGGUCGUAUUAUUGAUAUUCGAACGAGGAAAGCAGGAGGAGAAGCAAGAUCUUCCGAUGGCUUAUUUUUAUUGCCCUCAAUUACCCUGGCUAUCCUUUCUCCGUUUUGCUUUCAUUAUUUUAAUGGAAGCUGUUUGAAUUCUUUCAAACUUAUUUUCCCCUUAAUCUUUUUCUGCACAUCAUCGUCUCUCCACAACGUCGACCGCCGUUACUUGUUAUAACCGCCUUUGGGUUGCGGCCAUGGCACUGCUAUUCUCUUGGCAGAGAGGACAGGGAAAGACACAGAGAGAGAAGUAGGGCGGCCAAGAAAGAGAGAAAAGAAAGGAAGAAGGAUAUCAGCGAAUACGGGAUCGGUGGCUGGUUCCCGCCAGAGGAACGAGUUCGUCAUGAUUCUCCGCGAUUCUGCUGCCGCAAGAGGUGGAGAUGCCGUCGUCGGGGGAGGCCUCGAGUUUAGAGAAAUGAAGAAGAGGAUGUUGUUGGUGACUAGGACAACGAGUUUAACUACAACAAGGAAAUGUUGCAUCAAAAAAACUACAACAAGGAAAUGGCAAGGCAGUGCACCAUUGGCAGCAUCAGGGGCAGAGUGAAGAUGCUGAAUUAUUUUCUUCUUAUAGACAUGAAGAGCAGCACCGAAUUCCUUGUCUUACCAAUGGGCUGCCGAUCAACUUGAAAGGUCUGAAUGGCAUCCAGGGUCCUGUCUAUGUGGGGACAGGAUGCUGCUUUAGGAGACAUGCCUUAUGUGGUAUAAGCCUGUCGCGAAUGAGUCUGACUUAGAAGCCGAUGGUGUUGAAAGUUGCUGCAGUUCAAGAGAGAAGGGAAAGAAUGGGAAUAAGAGUUAUGUUUACAAAAAAAGGGGCCGUCAAGAGAACUGAAUCCACCAUUCCCAUCUUCAAUAUUGAAGACACUGAAGAGGGUGUAGAAUGUAUCAACUUUAUUUCUUGGAAGGAACUAAAACAGAAUUUUCUGCAUUUGAUUAUUAUCCAUGGCCAUGCCAAAUGUCAUCUGUUUUUCUUUUGAAGAACAAUAUGGAUGAAUGAGGCCUCCCUGAGGAUAUGAAUAUUUUCUAAUCUAGGAUAUAGCUGAAAUCAACAAACUGCUGUCAAAGUUGUAUGCUUUGUUUUUUACAUAUAUCAGUAUUUUUUAUUUUUUUUAUGUACUUCACAGAAAUAUAUACAACUUAAGAUAUCGCAGGCA